AUUGAACGCUGGCGGCAGGCUUAACACAUGCAAGUCGAGCAGGCGAGGUUGCUUCGGUAACUGAGCUAGCGGCGGACGGGUGAGUAAUGCUUAGGAAUCUGCCUAUUAGUGGGGGACAACAUUCCGAAAGGAAUGCUAAUACCGCAUACGCCCUACGGGGGAAAGCAGGGGAUCUUCGGACCUUGCGCUAAUAGAUGAGCCUAAGUCAGAUUAGCUAGUUGGUGGGGUAAAGGCCUACCAAGGCGACGAUCUGUAGCGGGUCUGAGAGGAUGAUCCGCCACACUGGGACUGAGACACGGCCCAGACUCCUACGGGAGGCAGCAGUGGGGAAUAUUGGACAAUGGGCGAAAGCCUGAUCCAGCCAUGCCGCGUGUGUGAAGAAGGCCUUUUGGUUGUAAAGCACUUUAAGCGAGGAGGAGGCUACUUGGAUUAAUACUCUAGGAUAGUGGACGUUACUCGCAGAAUAAGCACCGGCUAACUCUGUGCCAGCCGCCGCAGUAA
rnacentral:rRNA from 1 species